CAACGUGGGUAACCUGCCCAUCAGAGGGGGAUAACAUUCGGAAACGGAUGCUAAAACCGCAUAGGUCUUCGAACCGCAUGGUUUGAAGAGGAAAAGAGGCACAAGCUUCUGCUGAUGGAUGGACCCGCGGUGCAUUAGCUAGUUGGUGAGGUAACGGCUCACCAAGGCCGUGAUGCAUAGCCGACCUGAGAGGGUGAUCGGCCACAUUGGGACUGAGACACGGCCCAA
rnacentral:rRNA from 1 species